CCUGAAUUCCUUUCUGGGUUCGCUGUUGGUGGUCAGCUGCAGUGGGUUCUGACUUAACCCUUGUAGAACUGAGUGCUUUGGCCAGAGGCUACCUUCAGCUCCUUCUUGCCUGGCCCUUUCCAUAUGGCAGCUCACAAUAUGGCAGAUUUCUUCUUCAAAGAAAGCAACAGAGAGAGAGACUCCUGUUUUGGUAAAUUGUGCCUUUCAAGAAGUUAUCCAGGGGCUUCCCUGGUGGCGCAGUGGUUGGGAAUCCGCCUGCCAAUGCAGGGGACACGGGUUCAUGCCCCAGUCUGGGAAGAUCCCACAUGCCGCGGAGCGGCUGGGCCUGUGAGCCACAACUACUGAGCCUGCACGUCUGGAGCCUGUGCUCCGCAACGGGAGAGGCCGUGGCGGUGAGAGGCCCGCGCAUCGUGAUGAAGAGUGGCCCCCACUUGCCACAACUAGAGAAAGCCCUCGCACAGAAACGAAGACCCAAC